rnacentral:tRNA from 8 species
GGCGGAUGUAGCCAAGUGGAUCAAGGCAGUGGAUUUGAAUCCAC